CCUGUAAGGCCAUCCUUUGAAUUGAGAUGCACUUCUGAUGGGGGCUCAAAUCAGGCAAAGUUGACUUCUUUUGACUUUAGAAAGGCCUUGACUAAUUGCCCUUUAUUACCAGGUGUCGAGUCACUUCCCUUGGUUUUAAUGUUGUACAUUCUGGCUUUUUCUGACCAGUUUGGAGGACCAUCAGGCCAUGACUCUAGGUCAGCUAGUAGCUGGUCCAACUUUCCUUCUAUGUUAUUAGAUGAAGCUGAAGCUGACCUUUGGUGGACCAUUCUUUGGACUUGUCUUGAAGUGUAAGACUGACGAAGGCUAAGUCUUUUCGACAGGUUAAGGGUUCUUUUGAAGAUCAGCCUCAGGGACAAGCACUAGAAUGUCACUAAGUGAAAGUUUUCUUUGCAUUUUUCAUAACAAAUGCAGCUCACGGAAGGACGAACAAAGAAGAGUAAAGAUCUGUUAUUUGGUUUACAGACUUCAUCACACAACAGAUAGAUUUAAGUUAGAAUGGAACUUUUGGUACUUGUAUAUCUUGAAUUGUAUCAAUGUUUAUAGUAACAUAGAGAUCAUAGACUAGAAUCACCGGCUGUUAGACUCUUAAAAAUUGGCUGGAAAGCUGUUUACACACAAGACAUUGUUGACGCGAAUAAGUUCCGUUGUUUUGAGCUGCACUGGUCAGCCUUUCGGUAGUGCUUUCUUUGAUUUGUAAACCUUCAGAUAAUACCUAAAAAUUUGUUCUAUUUACACUUUGUUAAAACAUGAAUAAGAAAGUAAAUGACAAAUAGGUCAUUGCGUUUCAGGAUUUAUAAAUACUUGCAAUUACAUUAUGUUCUGUUUUUGUUCCUGAUCACGACGGUCGCGACCGGUCUGACCGCACUGGCCUUUUUCGCAGAUGUGAAUAGUUUCCUUUUAGAAGUCUUUUUUUGUGUAAGGAUUUUAGUCAAUUAUAUUGAUGUUUGAAUGAAAGGCUAACUAUUAUUCUAAAACAAAAUUCAACGCCAAAAGAGAAUUCGCCCUUGGUUCUCUGUAAUGGGGGAAUGGCAUUGUGUUUUAACGCUUGGUGGGAAUCCUCGAAAAGUGAACUCAGCCGUUGAUUAGUUUAAAAGAUGUCCCAUUAUUCUGUUUGAUUCCAUAAUUUCCUCUGAGAGUAAAAUGUCACACAUGGACGGGUUUCAAAGUAGAGAAGCUAGAAACUUUACUUCAACCGUGUGUACUCAACCUGAACAACACAUGCCCUAUGAUUUACCAGUAGAUGAAUUCAAGCAUCUGAAAGCCUACGCAGUACGAAAUCGAUUUCGUUUUACGUAACAUCUCCACGAAUAUUUCACGUAACGAUGCGCGGAGUAGCCACGCGCAAUGGGCUUGUAAUGAAAAAUCUUUAAUAUAACUUACUGUCAUUUCUUUGACCAAAUGUUUGUCCAAAGGGCAUUGAAAGCAGCAUGCAGUAUGUUUAUCAAUCACAGUCAACAUCAAAUCGAAUUUAGUGCUCUUGUGUUAUAACUAUUCAGUAACAAAUUGACUCGAUAAGCAACAACGAUAAUCACACCGAUGAAGACUUGACAAACAGUCAUUGUGAAGUCGAGUUAUUCAACUGACAUUUCCAUCUCAAGGGUUUUGAUCGAAAUCCUGAAAAAUUCAAUAGCAAAAGAGUACUUGUACUGUUUGUUAAAGAGAGAAGUCUAGAAUAAAUAUAAACCAAUGUAA